rnacentral:rRNA from 1 species
GUAGUCCACGCCGUAAACGAUGAAUACUAGGUGUAGGGGGUAUCGACUCCCUCUGUGCCGCAGUUAACACAAUAAGUAUUCCGCCUGGGAAGUACGGUCGCAAGAUUAAAACUCAAAGGAAUUGACGGGGGCCCGCACAAGCAGCGGAGCAUGUGGUUUAAUUCGAAGCAACGCGAAGAACCUUACCUAGACUUGACAUCUCCUGAAUAGCCGGUAAUUCGGCGAAGCCCUUCGGGGCAGGAAGACAGGUGGUGCAUGGUUGUCGUCAGCUCGUGUCGUGAGAUGUUGGGUUAAGUCCCGCAACGAGCGCAACCCUUAUCAUUAGUUGCUACCAUUUAGUUGAGCACUCUAGUGAGACUGCCACGGUUAACGUGGA